rnacentral:lncRNA from 1 species
GAAAUGUACUUUAUUCUUACUACUUAAAGGAUUUUUUUUGAAACUCCUGUUUCAUAGGAAUAUUAUGCUGAGGGCUUCUUGUUCUGUAAACAAGUGUUUCAGUUCUCAACUAUAAUUUUGCAGUAUAAUAAAUUUUGGUGGACAGAACUCAUAAAAAGGUUGAGCUGCUCUGUGCAGCCCUAGAGCAGGCUGAGGACUGAGCUGGUGGGUUUGUUUGUUUGCUUGUUUGUUUGUUUUCAGGGUUUUUUUGUGGCAGGGUUUCUCAGUCUAGCCCUGGCUGUCUUGGAACUCACUUUGUAGACCAGGCUGGUCUCGGGAACUCAGAAAUCUGCCUGCCUCUGCCUCCUGAGUGCUGGAGUUAAAGGUGGGGGGCCACCAUGCGCUUAACAUUGAUCAGGAUGGACACAAUAUGCAGAAUAGUUUUUUUUUGUUACACAGUGAUUGUAUUUUCUUUAAGGCUGCAACUUUAGUUACUUUAUUUCAGGCAUCUAAGAGAAACAUAACUUAAAAACAAGGCACUAUUGAGAGCAAAAAUGGACUAAUAGAAGAAUGGGGUAAAGAAAAGGUAUUAGAUAAUCUUUAGAAAAAUAAUUUCUGAAGUGGAGGACACAUGUAUGUGUGGGUAAGGUGCACACAUGUACGCUCAUUCUUGUGGAGCCAGAGAUUGUCCUUGAGUGUCUUCCUUUCUCGCUCUCCAUUUUGCUUUUUAAGACAGCAAAUCUGAGUCUGGAGUUGCCGCAGUAAGCUUCCCCAGCUGGCCACUGUGCUCUGGGGUCCCACUUCUGCCUCCUUUCCCAGAAGGGUUGGGAUUACAGAUUACAGACACUUGGAGCUGGAGUUGGCUUUUUAGAGGGGUGCUAGGGAUUUGAACUCAGAUCUUCAUGAUCGUGUGUCAAACACUUGACUGAGACAUCUUCCCAGCUCCAAGUUAAUGUGGGUGAAUUGCUUGCUGAUUAUGGUUUCUGGAGUGCCGUUUUCUUUUAAGCAUGUUUAUGAGCAUGUUUGAUUCCUUCUCCCGGAACACCUUCAUCUUUUUUACUUAAAGCAAAAAUAUCUUUCUGGCUUAAUAACAUCACUUAAAGUUUCUUAGUUCAGCAGAACAUUUCAUACUGGGUCAAUCAACUUUAUGCUAUCCGAACACUUAAAUUCUUCCUUCAUUUGCCUCUAGGCAAGUUUUAAAAAUCUACUUUUCAUGAAAACAAGACCAUUUGUUAGGUUAGUUCUCAUUUCUUUGUGCCUUUAAAUUUGGUAUAUUCACUGUGCACAACAGCUUUUAACUAAUUGUACAGUAUCAGAUUAUAAUGUACAAAGCAGUGACAUAGACCGUAUUAGUUUCUGUCCUUGUUAGUUUUUUGUUUAUUUGAUACAAGCUGAAGUUACCAGGAAAAUAACCUCAGUUGAGAAGAUGAAUCAUAUUGCCUAUAGGCAAGUCUGUAGGGAAGUCUAUAGGCUAUUUUCUUGAAUAAUGAUUGAUAUGGGAGGGCCCAACCCACUGGGGCGGUGCCAUAUCUGGGCAGGUAGUCCUGGGUUGUAUAAGAAGUCAGACUGAGCCGGGCGGCAGUGGUGGUGGUGCACGCCUUUAAUCCUAGCACUUGGAAGGCAGAUGCAGGCAGAUUUCUGAGUGCUUGGCCUACAGAGUGAGUUCCACGACAGCUAGGACUGCACAGAGAAACCCUGUCUCAGGGGAAAAAAAAAAUU